rnacentral:rRNA from 1 species
AUUGAACGCUGGCGGCAUGCUUUACACAUGCAAGUCGAACGGCAGCGCGGGCUUCGGCCUGGCGGCGAGUGGCGAACGGGUGAGUAAUGCAUCGGAACGUGCCCAGUAGUGGGGGAUAGCCCGGCGAAAGCCGGAUUAAUACCGCAUACGACCUGAGGGUGAAAGCGGGGGACCGAAAGGCCUCGCGCUAUUGGAGCGGCCGAUGUCGGAUUAGCUAGUUGGUGGGGUAAAGGCUUACCAAGGCGACGAUCCGUAGCUGGUCUGAGAGGACGACCAGCCACACUGGGACUGAGACACGGCCCAGACUCCUACGGGAGGCAGCAGUGGGGAAUUUUGGACAAUGGGGGCGACCCUGAUCCAGCCAUGCCGCGUGCGGGAAGAAGGCCUUCGGGUUAUAAACCGCUUUUGUUCGGGAAGAAAUCCUCUGGGCUAAUACCCCGGGGGGAUGACGGUACCGGAAGAAUAAGCACCGGCUAACUACGUG